rnacentral:rRNA from 1 species
UACGUAGGCAGCAAGCGUUGUUCGGAAUUACUGGGCGUAAAGGGUGCGUAGGCGGCCCUGUAAGUAUGGUGUGAAAUCUCCCGGCUUAACUGGGAGGGUGCGCUAUAGACUGCGGGGCUCGAGUGUGGGAGAGGAAAGUGGAAUUCCUGGUGUAGCGGUGAAAUGCGUAGAUAUCAGGAGGAACACCGGUGGUGUAAACGGCUUUCUGGACCAUAACUGACGCUGAGGCACGAAAAGCGUGGGUAGCAAACAGG